rnacentral:lncRNA from 1 species
CUUUCCCCACCUUUUCCCCCACCGCCCCCUUCUCAUCCGCUCUAAAUCGGGAUCGAUACCUCAUGUGGUGACCACUGCCUUUUCGUCGUUGCCGCGGCCACCGUCGUCGCCGUCGCUCGGUAGUAUGUCCAGGGGAACUGCCAUGGUCAUCUUCGUCCGUCCCGGGCGUCGGUUCAAACAGGGACGCCGCGAGGCCGUCGCCAUCGCUAUCAUCUCCGUUUGGCCGCCGCCAUCUCGCCGACGACCUGCGAUGUUUUAACCGUCCCCAGCCUCCGCGAGCUCGCCUACGACCUCUCUGUGAGCCACUCUUCCGAACCCCCCUGUCCCCGUUAUUGAUUAGUUGCCGUAGACGUCGUCCGCGACCUCCAUGACUGCGCCUGUAACUCUGCUUCCGGGCAAUGCCCGCCCGCGUAUGGCCACGCCCUGCUGCGGUGCUUGCACGCCCGCUCCCGUUCCUUCUGCCGCUGCCGCACUAACCCACUGCCGCACGCCCCACGCCAGCUUGCUGCUGCCGCCUGCGCCCGCGCGCGCUCGGGCGCCCCAGACCGCGUCGUCGCCCGAGCUGCCGUGUUGCUUCGGUGCUGUGCUGCUCCUUGCGCUGUUGCUGCUCACUACUUGGCCACUGCUUGCUGCUGCCGCUACCUGCUCCUCUGUGUGCCUGCUACUGCCCUGCUCUGUUGUGUCGUUGUUGUUGCUUGCUACUGCUGCCCGUUGCGCUGCCUUGUAAACUGCCAUCGCUGCUGCUCUAUGUCCGUGGCCGUGUGUGUGCGUAGGUGUUGUGUGUGGCCGGUCUAUUUAGGCUAAUGCUUGAUUAGUUGUAGGGUUUAAUUAGUGGCUAGUUUAGCCUAUGUGCAAAUGACAUGUGGGUCCAUUUUAAUUAUGUUAGUUUUAUUUAAUUGUUUAGGUUCAGCCAAUGACAUAUGGGUCACCCCCUCCCCUUUUGACCAGUCAACUUGACUUGGUCAACCUGAAUUAAAACAAAAUCAAAAUUUUCUUAAAGUCAUUAAAACUUUGGAAAAUCAUAAAAAAAUAUCUAUAACUCGGAUGAAAAUGUUUUAUAUAUGAAAUUUGCUCAGAAAAAUCCAACGAAUCCGAAUACGCGGUCCUUUCACCUGUCACAUGCCCCUAGCAUGCUGAACAUGGAGCCAUUCCCUCUCUUUCAUCUGUCGUAAUUCGUCUAACGCCAGGGAUUCAUCCUCGGAUGUUUAUCCCCUCUGCCUGCGACGUAUAGUACUACGUUAGGACAACCCUAGCUCUGCCUAUCAUCUUGUUAUGCCUUGUGAUGCAUUGUUUGCUCUAUAUUUACUGUUUCUUCCCCCUCUUCUCUCCGGUAGACCUCGAGACCGAUGCCGCCCCUGUGAUCGACUACGUCGACGACGACCCCCUCCUUGCCAGAGCAACCAGGCAAGCAAACCCUCCUUGAGCAUUCUAAUAUCGCCCAUUUCUUUCCCUCUCAUGCUUGCAUUAGAACUGCUACUGCUUUGUGUAUGAUCCUACUCUGAUGCAUAGCAUGUUGUUACCUGCUUUUAUACCUUACCUUCUUAUCCUAAACUGCUUAGUAUAGGUUGGUUAGUGAUCCAUCAGUGACCCCCACCUUGUCCCAUUUGCCCCGCUUUAUGUUCAAUGACUCGAUCAACGUGAUCGACGUCCAGGCCCCGACACCGCACAUCACCCCCUAGUUGUAUGACUCUGUAGAGUUACCAUCGAGUGCCGAGGGUGGAACCUCUUACAUCACUCCUGAUGAGAUCUCAGUAGUGUAGCUAUACGGCCGAGGUCAUCGAGGGUGAUUUCCACCUUAACCACUUCCGUUACGGCUCUGUCGUGCAACCCCUCAAGUGUGAACCUCGAGGGUGGAUCCUCUUACGUUCACCUUGAUGAUAACAUCGAGUGGAAUUCACCGAGGGUGAUUCCUCGGGUUUUCACCUUGGUGUUGGACACACAGUUACUAUGGUUACUAUGACUUUACACUGAACCAUGUUACUAAAGACGGGUCGGCUCUGAAGGGUACCCGCGCGAGCUAAAUAGCAAGUGAUGUGGAGUCGGGUUGACCUGGAAGGUGCCCGCGAGAUACUUACGAUGUGUGGCCGGGCAUUCUAAGCCCUUGUCGCAAGUACUCGAGACGGGGCGAUGGGGUCACAUCGAUCAUGAGUCUUUGCUCGUUACCGCGCUUUCCUAAUCCACUACGAUUUGGAUAUUUCAUCCGAGGGGCCUCUGGCCUGAUAGCACUAACCAUCACGUGGGCAUAGUAUGGGCGUUCUGCGUCGUAUACAUCAGCCGAAGCUUAAUAAACGUCAGCGACUGAGCGGCGCGCGCCGGGUUGGACUGGUAAGCACCUACCUUGUUGAAGGAGGUAGCUAGGUCUGCUCACCGGCCGCGUACGCAACGUGUAGGAGUUCCCGGGGAGAUGGCCCAUGACCCUUGGGGGCAUAGGUUUAGUCUGGCGUGCUGGCCUCUCUAUUAAGCCUAGGUCGGGUUGCGGCGUAUUGUUUGGCUGAGGCCGGGCAUGACCCAGGAAAGUGUGUCCGGACGAAGUUAAUCGAGCGUUGUGGGUAAGUUGGUGCACCCCUGCAGGGAAGAAAACGUCUAUUGAUAGCUUGUCCUACGGUAACGGACACUUGGAGUUGUAUCCCGAUCGAUACAACUAGAACUGGAUACUUGUGAUGAGAAAUGGAUGGUGAUGAGAAAUGGAUAGUAUGGCUCUGGGGUUGCUUUCUCACGGGGAGUCGAGAAAGGAUCUCUGGCCGAGGUUGAUAACUCUACUUCUACUUUACUUUAUGUUACUCUACUCCCUCCUAUUGCUGCAAGAUGGUGGUUUCCAGAAGAUGCUAUUCUUCGAUAGGCUAGGCUUUCCCCUUCCCUUCUGGCAUUCUGCAGUUUAGUCCACAGAUACAACCCAUUCCUUUGAUACAGAUACAUACUUAGUUUAGAUCUGAUGUAAGUCUUGCGAGUACUUUGGAUGAGUACUCACGUUUGCUUUGCUACUUCUUUUCCCCCAUACCCGAUUGUUGCGACCAGAUGACGGAGCCCAGGAGCCAGACGACGCCAUUGAUGACUACUACUACCCGGAGGAUGCCUACUACUACGUGAAGACCGCCGCCGACUAGGAGUAGUUAGGAGGCUCCCACGCAGGAGGCCUUGCCUUUUUGAUCGUUGUUGCUUUUGUGCUAGCCUUCUUAAGGCAAACUUGUUUAACUCAUGUCUGUUCUCAGAUAAUGUUGCUUCCGCUGACUCUUUUGUUUUCGAGCUGAUGUAUUCGAGCCCUCGAGGCCCCUGGCUUGUAAAAUAAAGCUUGCAUUAUUUUAAUUUUUUCUAGAGUUGUGUUGUG